rnacentral:lncRNA from 1 species
GAAAUCAAAUCCUACCAACUAUAGGACUGUACAAUAAUGAAAGAAUAUUCUAUCAAUAAUAAAAAAAUACAUACAAUAUAUUCUAAUAUUAAAAUAGAAUGAAUUAAGAACAGAAGUUAAUGGAGCCACUGAAUCUGUUAGUCUGGCACGUAACACGCAUGACUAUUAUCGUUAGAUGUAUUAUAGCAUCUCUUUAUAAUAUAUAUAAGGACCAAAUACACAAACUCAUGUCGUGAUGAAUGCCAUUUUGACUCUCAAAAGUUGGGUUGAUAUGAUCAUUGCCUGUAUUAAGCGCAGACCAAUAAAUUCCUACACAAAAGACAGGUGAAAAUUUUAUAUUCAAUUUUCUUCAUUUUAGAUCAGAAUCAGAUGAUGGAGCUGAAAGCAGGUCUGCUAAUCUGUCCCACUGACCUAAUCAUAAUGAGAGAAAAUGUAGUAUAAAGUGGCUCGCGCAAUUGGAAAACUCUGUUGAGAAUGCUCUAAUUAAAUAUUUUCUGCUAUUAAUUAAUUAAGUGAGUAUAAUAAUUAAUCAAUCUACAGUCAUGCUGUGACAGAAGAAGUUAUCAUUAUAGAAUAAAAAUUUCCCUCAAAUCCAGGCAUUUGCUAACCUAAUGUUCUUCUCAUAUACCUUUUUUGGCCAGUAGCCAGAGGUUAUGCAAUAGCUCUCGUAAUUAAUACUACUAAUCAAAGUAUUAACUAUUUUAAUAAACAGAUUGAUGGGAUCAAUAAUGCAUCUAGUGGGUUCAUCUAAACAAUUCCUAAUGGAUAUAGGUUUUAUUUGUUGCCACUAGUAUUAGAGUAUUAUUAUCUAACCUCCUCUCUCUCUUUUUUUUCCUGUUGAGAAAAUAAUUUGAGACAUUAUUAGAAGAAAACACUAUUACAAAAAAGGAGGAGAAUAUGCUCCUGGAGAGGCACGUCUAAAGAAAGCAAUUUGUUGCAGUAGUAAUAUAAGGAGAAGUCACGGGGGAUGAGCUGCAAUAACUAUG